UAGAGAAAACUCUUAUUUAGAUUUGGCUUCUUGUGCAAAAGGACUUGAGGAUCAUGGGCUGAAUCAUUGUUAACUACUCACUUAUUGUGAUAAGUUUGGAAUUUAUAUUUUUGGAAAGUUAUUUUGUUCUAUAGCUAUGGAUAAGAGUUGGAUGGACAUUAGAGAUAGGACAUCUGUGGAAUAUAGAAAUGGAGUUGCACAAUUCUUGAAUUUUGCAUCUCAACAUAAACAACGAGAUGGUACGUUUGUUUGUCCAUGUCGAAAAUGGGCACAUUCAACAAUGUUGGCUAUAGAUGUUGUACGAAUUCAUCUAGUAUCACAUGGGAUUUGUAGGGGUUAUCAACGUUGGAUU